rnacentral:rRNA from 1 species
UUCGCCCUUUUCCGGUUGAUCCCGCCGGACCUGACUGCUAUCGGAUUGAUACUAAGCCAUGCGAGUCAUUGUAGCAAUACAAGGCAUACGGCUCAGUAACGCGUAGUCAACCUAACCUAUGGACGGGAAUAACCUCGGGAAACUGAGAAUAAUGCCCGAUAGAACACUAUACCUGGAAUGGUUUGUGUUCCAAAUGAUUUAUCGCCGUAGGAUGGGACUGCGGCCUAUCAGUUUGUUGGUGAGGUAAUGGCCCACCAAGACUAUUACAGGUACGGGCUCUGAGAGGAGUAGCCCGGAGAUGGGUACUGAGACACGGACCCAGGCCCUAUGGGGCGCAGCAGGCGAGAAAACUUUGCAAUGUGCGAAAGCACGACAAGGUUAAUCCGAGUGGUUUCUGCUAAAGGAACCUUUUGUUAGUCCUAGAAACACUAACGAAUAAGGGGUGGGCAAGUUCUGGUGUCAGCCGCCGCGGUAAAACCAGCACCUCAAGUGGUCAGGAUGAUUAUUGGGCCUAAAGCAUCCGUAGCCGGCUCUGUAAGUUUUCGGUUAAAUCUGUACGCUUAACGUACAGGCUGCCGGGAAUACUGCAUAGCUAGGGAGUGGGAGAGGUAGACGGUACUCGGUAGGAAGGGGUAAAAUCCUUUGAUCUAUUGAUGACCACCU